AACGAACGCUGGCGGCAUGCCUAACACAUGCAAGUCGAACGAGACCUUCGGGUCUAGUGGCGCACGGGUGCGUAACGCGUGGGAAGCUGCACGUAGGUUCGGAAUAACUCCCCGAAAGGGGUGCUAAUGCCAGAUAAUGUCUUCGGACCAAAGAUUUAUCGCCUUUGGAUGGGCCCGCGUUGGAUUAGCUAGUUGGUAGGGUAAAAGCCUACCAAGGCGACGAUCCAUAGCUGGUCUGAGAGGAUGAUCAGCAACACUGGGACGGAGACACGGCCCAGACUCCUACGGGAGGCAGCAGUGGGGAAUAUUGGACAAUGGGCGAAAGCCUGAUCCAGCAAUGCCGGGUGAGUGAUGAAGGCCUUAGGGAUGUAAUGCUCUUUUACCCGGGAUGAUAAUGACAGUACCGGGUGAAUAAGCGCCGGCUAACUCCGUG
rnacentral:rRNA from 1 species